UACGUAGGGGCAAGCGUUGUCCGGAAUCAUUGGGCGUAAAGAGCGUGUAGGCGGCCCGGUAAGUCCGCUGUGAAAGUCCAGGGCUCAACCCUGGGAUGCCGGUGGAUACUGUCGGGCUCGAGUCCGGAAGAGGAGUGUGGAAUUCCUGGUGUAGCGGUGGAAUGCGCAGAUAUCAGGAGGAACACCAAUAGCGAAGGCAGCUCGCUGGGACGUACUGACACUGAGGCGCGAAAGCGUGGGGAACGACAGG
rnacentral:rRNA from 1 species